rnacentral:lncRNA from 1 species
CUGAGGCAACCGGACCAAAACAUCAUAAGAUUCAACCAAAGCAAAUUGAUGUCCUUAAAUAAGCUGCAUCGAUAGAUAAAAAAUAACACAGAAAACUGAUGUCCGUAUCUGCAAAAAUAUAACUCGUAAUUCCAACUAAUAAUUUUCAUCCAGCAUUCCUAAACAUGCAUCAGGGUGAUGAAACCAUUCAUUCAGUUCAUGGCUAAAAUCAGUCGAUCAAGAUCUAAGAAUCAUCUACGAAAGAACUUCAAUAUCCAAGUUAAAAGCACAAAUAUGGAUAACAAAUUCAAUAGUUCUCGAAGCAAGACUAAUCCUACUUAAUACAUAUCAUGAAAUUUGCAAAUAUGAUUUCAUAUAUGAAAAGGAAACACCAAUAUGCUCAUAAUAUGAGUGAGAAGACAUAUCCCCGUUGUAGCAAUAUAAUACUCCUUAACAUUUAUAGUUUUUGAUCUAUUUUCAUAAACAAAAUAGUAACAUUUAUAGUUUUAGACUUUUUCCCUUGAGAAAUUACUAUUACAUGGGAAAGCAAUAUAUUUUUCCCAAAUAUUUG